AAUGUUGCUUACAGUAAAAGUACUGUAAAUUUCUUUUACUGAAAAUUAGUUGUAAACUUAAUUUAAAACAAGAUUUUCCUUGCUACAAAUUACUUUCACAGAUGAUUACUGUAUUUUCUUUUACAGUAACUUACUGACACCGAGCUGCCAUUAAGUUAUUCUAAUAUUACAGCAACCUGUUUACAUGAAAUUUUGGAAGAACAACUGUGUGUGUGAGAAAUAUUAAUAAUAUUAAAUAUUAACUAUAACCAGGAGAUGUCAUGUAAAUCAAAUAAAACAAUAGCGAGAGACAGCUGGAAACAGUGAUGAUGUCUAAGCAUAAACUGUGCUCUCCCGCUCCCCCUACACACCAAAAAGCUUCAAAUUUAUAAACAGUUAGCAAACUCUAAACCUGCUUCAAAAAGUCCAGAUUUAAGCUCAAAAGAACACAAAAGAAGAAGAUGUUGUAGUAAAUAGAACACAAGAUCCACUUAAUGGUUAAUUCAUCCUUCAUUGGAUUAUAACGAUAAGACUUUAAGGCAUUUUGUCUUUGGUUUAAUUGAAGUUUGCAAACUCUGAUCUUCUUGUUAACCUUACAACAUUGGCAUUUGACCUGCAGAUUAAACAGCAGUAAACCAUCUUACCUGAAGUAAGCCUCUUUAACACCAUCUGUGGGGAAUUUCCUCAAAAGUAAACCCACACUGGGAGCACGACCGGCGGGUAGCCUGCCGGUGACCUGCCGAUGGAGUGGAUAGUGUGGCUGAACAGACGCUGACCUCACAGCUGCUGCUUGAGGACAUGCAGUUAUCAAUUACUGGUUAAAAAUCUGCAGUUUUUUUUAUAAACUGUUUUUAUUCAUUAUCAAGAAAAGCAUAAAACAUGCAGACAAGAAAGAAAGAAAGAAAGAAAGAAAGAAAGAAAGAAAGAAAAGAAAAGAGAAAAAAACCCAAAGGGAAUAUUUCAAAGUCAUUAUAUACCUGUACAAAUAUACAUAUGGUGUAAAGAGGAGAGAGAGAAAAAACAACAACAAAAAAAACAUAUUUUCGCUCAAUUACCCACAGAUUUAGAAAGAGAAAAGGCUAAACUCCAAGAGUGAAUUAUUGUCCUUUACGCUUACUUCCUAUUUAACUGAGAACAUCUUAAUCUCAACCAUCCCCCCUCAACAGUUGGGACAAAUCAUUUGGCAAAUAAGAAAGCAAAGGGGACCAAACAUUGAGACCCUCAUUUCCUCCUAAAAUAGCAGAAGUUCUUUUGUGAGGAAUAACUUUUAAUCUGUACCACAAAGUCACAGAGGGGGUUUAUCCUUAACCCAAUUAAUUAAAAUACAUUUCCUAGCUACCAGCAAUAGUUUGUCACAUAAUUUGCACUGCAAGUGAUUCAUCUGCAGUUAAAAAGAGACAAAACUGCAGGACUGGCAGACAUAGGGAGCUGAAAUGACAUUGGAAUAUUAAGCAUUAGAUUAGAUUAUUUAGCUUUAUAAUUACAGGCCCUGGU
ensembl:lncRNA